AGCAGCGUGGCUUUGUGGAAAGAGCACUGGCUUGUGAGACAGAGGAUGUGGGUUCUAAUCCCAGCUCUGCCA
rnacentral:tRNA from 1 species